GGCACCUUGGCCUAAUGGUAAGGCGUUGCUUUCCGGCUACUCGUUUGGAACGUGGCAAAGAUUGUGGGUUCGAGUCCCAUAGGUGUCG
rnacentral:tRNA from 1 species